rnacentral:ncRNA from 21 species
AACCAGCGUGGCUGCACUUGACGGGUCGCUCUGAGAACAGACGGCACGAACUUGAUCAGGAUAAUACCUGCGAAAGGACAUGCAUUUUCCUCCUG